rnacentral:rRNA from 1 species
GACGAACGCUGGCGGCGUGCUUAACACAUGCAAGUCGAACGGAAAGGCCCUGCUUUUGUGGGGUGCUCGAGUGGCGAACGGGUGAGUAACACGUGAGUAACCUGCCCUUGACUUUGGGAUAACUUCUGGAAACUGGGGCUAAUACUGGAUAGGAGCUCCUGCUGCAUGGUGGGGGUUGGAAAGUUUCGGCGGUUGGGGAUGGACUCGCGGCUUAUCAGCUUGUUGGUGGGGUAGUGGCUCACCAAGGCUUUGACGGGUAGCCGGCCUGAGAGGGUGACCGGCCACAUUGGGACUGAGAUACGGCCCAGACUCCUACGGGAGGCAGCAGUGGGGAAUAUUGCACAAUGGGCGGAAGCCUGAUGCAGCAACGCCGCGUGCGGGAUGACGGCCUUCGGGUUGUAAACCGCUUUCGCCUGUGACGAAGCGUGAGUGACGGUAAUGGGUAAAGAAGCACCGGCUAACUACGUG